GCUGAAAAACACCUCUGCCUCUUUUGUCACUGCCUGCACUAUAGGGGACUACAGGGCUUCACCCAUUCAUAUUCGGAUUCAGAACAGCUUCAAUGUCCUCCGGUCCCAGGCUUCUGAAUGAUGCUCUUACUGUUCAUUUCCUUUUAGGCAUUUCAGUUGUUGUUGUUGUUGUUUUCUUUUUUGAGGCAGAGUUUCACUCUUGUUGCCCAGGCUCGGAGACAAUUUUCUUUAACAUGACUCACAGUAUUCACUGCUACUCGAGUAAGUUCCACUCUACACUUGAAACUAUAAAAGUAACAAGAUAUUUACUUCCUAUAAAGACACUUAGAGACAGCGAUAGAUCAUGAAUAAUGGCAUUUUGAAAACGUGACAGAAGAGAAAAUUCUAAGAAAAACUGACAGAAAAGUGGAAAAAAAGUCCCAANNNNNNNNNNNNNNNNNNNNNNNNNNNNNNNNNNNNNNNGCCUCCCAGGUUCAAGCCAUUCUCCUGCCUCAGCCUCCCGAGUAACUGGGAUUACGGGUGCUCGCCACCACCCCUGGCUAAUUUUUGUAUUUUUAGUAGAGACAGGGUUUUACCAUGUUGGCUAGGCUGGUCUCGAACUCCUGACCUCAGGUGAUUCACCCGACUAGGCCUCCCAAAGUGCUGGCAUUACAGGUGUGAGCUACCCUGCCUGGCUGGGUUUCAGUUUUGUUGUGAACAAAGGUAUAGUUAAGAUUUGGUGGAGCCCACUACCACUGUCUGGGAGGCCAAGGAAGAAGGUGCUACAGACAUGGUUGGGUUAACCUACAUAAUCAUUUCCCCUCAGCUCUUUGCCUUUAUUUCCUUCCUUUAUUUCCUAUAUUUCCUUCCCCUAAUGA
rnacentral:lncRNA from 1 species